rnacentral:rRNA from 1 species
AAUCUUCCGCAAUGGACGCAAGUCUGACGGAGCAACGCCGCGUGAGCGAAGAAGGUUUUCGGAUCGUAAAGCUCUGUUGUGAGGGAAGAACACGUAUGAGAGUAACUGUUCAUACGCUGACGGUACCUCAACAGAAAGCCACGGCUAACUACGUGCCAGCAGCCGCGGUAAUACGUAGGUGGCAAGCGUUGUCCGGAAUUAUUGGGCGUAAAGCGCGCGCAGGCGGUCCUUUAAGUCUGAUGUGAAACCUUGCGGCUUAACCGCAAGCGGUCAUUGGAAACUGGGGGACUUGAGUACAGAAGAGGAGAGUGGAAUUCCACGUGUAGCGGUGAAAUGCGUAGAGAUGUGGAGGAACACCAGUGGCGAAGGCGGCUACCUGGACUGAUACUGACACUGAGGUGCGAAAGCGUGGGGAGCAAACA